rnacentral:rRNA from 1 species
AUGGGAACGCGAAGAACCUUACCUAGACUUGACAUCUCCUGAAUAGUGUAGAGAUACAUGAAGCCCUUCGGGGCAGGAAGACAGGUGGUGCAUGGUUGUCGUCAGCUCGUGUCGUGAGAUGUUGGGUUAAGUCCCGCAACGAGCGCAACCCUUAUCACUAGUUGCUACCAUUAAGUUGAGCACUCUAGUGAGACUGCCCGGGUUAACCGGGAGGAAGGCGGGGAUGACGUCAAAUCAUCAUGCCCCUUAUGUCUAGGGCUACACACGUGCUACAAUGGUGGGAACAAAGAGAUGCAAUACCGCAAGGUGGAGCUAAACUCAAAACCCCAUCCCAGUUCGGAUUGUAGGCUGAAACUCGCCUACAUGAAGCUGGAGUUGCUAGUAAUCGCGAAUCAGAAUGUCGCGGUGAAUACGUUCCCGGGUCUUGUACACACCG